GACGAACGCUGGCGGCGUGCUUAACACAUGCAAGUCGAACGGAAAGGCCCUGCUUUUGUGGGGUGCUCGAGUGGCGAACGGGUGAGUAACACGUGAGUAACCUGCCCUUGACUUUGGGAUAACUUCAGGAAACUGGGGCUAAUACCGGAUAGGAGCUCCUGCUGCAUGGUGGGGGUUGGAAAGUUUCGGCGGUUGGGGAUGGACUCGCGGCUUAUCAGCUUGUUGGUGGGGUAGUGGCUUACCAAGGCUUUGACGGGUAGCCGGCCUGAGAGGGUGACCGGCGACAUUGGGACUGAGAUACGGCCCAGACUCCUACGGGAGGCAGCAGUGGAGAAUAUUGCACAAUGGGCGGAAGCCUGAUGCAGCAACGCCGCGUGCGGGAUGACGGCCUUCGGGUUGUAAACCGCUUUCGCCUGUGACGAAGCGUGAGUGGCGGUAAUGGGUAAAGAAGCACCGGCUAACUACGUG
rnacentral:rRNA from 1 species